rnacentral:rRNA from 1 species
UACGAAGGACCCGAGCGUUAUCCGGAUUUAUUGGGUUUAAAGGGUGCGUAGGCGGAUUAGUAAGUCAGUGGUGAAAGCCCAUCGCUUAACGGUGGAAUUGCCAUUGAUACUGCUAGUCUUGAGUAUGGUUGAGGUGGGCGGAAUGUGUCAUGUAGCGGUGAAAUGCUUAGAUAUGACCCAGAACACCAAUUGCGAAGGCAGCUCGCUAAACCAUAACUGACGCUGAUGCACGAAAGCGUGGGGAGCAAACAGG